UGGAAGGAACGUGAACUGAUGAGUCGACAACAGGCUACUAUGAUGAACAACGCAAUCAAGUGGUUGAUCUUGGCUUUUGCUGUCGCCAUGCUGAUCGCAACUGGUGACGCUCUGCUAUGCACACGCUGUAUGCCCAAUUCGCGCUUUAUGGGGUGUGGUGUACAAACAUGUCAUCCAGGCCAAGUCUGCGUAGACGAUCCAUGUGAGUAUCUGUAUGGUUUCAUAUUUUUUUUAUUUUAGAGGGGACUUUGCAAUUGUCCAAAAAGAAUCAUAUUUAUUCGUUUUUCUGUAAGAGUGAUUCUUGCAGUCCCAUUUCUUAAAGUAUAAAUAUCCGUCACAAAACCACUCACAAACUAAAAGCUUUCCUUGUACUGAGUUUAGAAUUUUCCAACACACACUUUUUAAAGAACUGUAAAUACAACUCACUGCUUCCACUCAAAACAAUAAUCACAUGUUGUGUUUUCUCUGUAUUCAAGUGUUCAUUGGCCAGCGCUGUGCGGAUCCGUGAAUGUGACGACAGACAAACCCCCAAUGCAAAAUGUCCCAAAAUGGACUUCUGCGACAUGGAAGGGUUUGUGGGGGUUGAAGAUCCAACCUAUGGUCUUGGUAGUUUAGUUGAGAAGCAUUCAAAAAUGUUGAAAAAAAUAAAUAAAAAGUGAUCAUCAAAUGAU